rnacentral:rRNA from 1 species
UACGUAGGGGGCUAGCGUUGUCCGGAAUCAUUGGGCGUAAAGCGCGCGUAGGCGGCCCAGUAAGUCCGUUGUAAAAGUCAAAGGCUCAACCUUUGAAAGCCGAUGGAUACUGCUGGGCUAGAGUCCGGAAGAGGCGAGUGGAAUUCCUGGUGUAGCGGUGAAAUGCGCAGAUAUCAGGAGGAACACCCGUGGCGAAAGCGGCUCUCUGGGACGGUACUGACGCUGAGGCGCGAAAGCGUGGGGAGCAAACAGG